GUAGAUUACGAUGACCUCUCUCUACGUUCAGUCAGCGAGAGAGAUUUUCUGUCUGAUGAGGACCGUGACCGCCAGCAGAAUCCACUUCCGGAUAAACGCCUGAAUCAUGUUAUGGAUUACGAAGCCCAGGGCCUUCUUCCUUCUUCUGUGAGAGCCGUGACCGAGCCUUGCGUCUCUAAUGACGUGCACCCCCCCAUGCUACAAGAUCAGAAGAGGCGCG